AUUGAACGCUGGCGGCAGGCCUAACACUUGCAAGUCGAGCGGAUGAAGGGAGCUUGCUCCUGGAUUCAGCGGCGGACGGGUGAGUAAUGCCUAGGAAUCUGCCUGGUAGUGGGGGAUAACGUCCGGAAACGGGCGCUAAUACCGCAUACGUCCUGAGGGAGAAAGUGGGGGAUCUUCGGACCUCACGCUAUCAGAUGAGCCUAGGUCGGAUUAGCUAGUUGGUGGGGUAAAGGCCUACCAAGGCGACGAUCCGUAACUGGUCUGAGAGGAUGAUCAGUCACACUGGAACUGAGACACGGUCCAGACCCCUACGGGAGGCAGCAGUGGGGAAUAUUGGACAAUGGGCGAAAGCCUGAUCCAGCCAUGCCGCGUGUGUGAAGAAGGUCUUCGGAUUGUAAAGCACUUUAAGUUGGGAGGAAGGGCAGUAAGUUAAUACCUUGCUGUUUUGACGUUACCAACAGAAUAAGCACCGGCUAACUUCGUG
rnacentral:rRNA from 1 species